GUUCGCUUUUACGUUGUAUUUAUGCCAGAUAAGCUCUUUUAUUUAACUCAUAUCGACUACAGUAUUAUAUUACUUUCACAAGCUGACGAUAUAGGCACGGUUGGUUGAAUUAUUUCAUUCUUGAGAAUUUCUUUCGUGUUUUGAUGAAUAUUUCGAAUAAUUCGAAUAUUAAGCAGAUGUUUUAGAAUCAUCAAGUGAUAAAACAACAUCUAUAUCAAGUACAAUUUCAACAGUGAGCCGUGACUCCGCUUCUACAGAAGUAUCACCGGAGACUACACUUAAGACGAAAAAGACAAAAGACUCUACAUUUGGAGUUCCUGUGGGAAUUUCCGUUACUGUUGUCAUUAUUGUUGUGGCAGUCAUUGUAAUAAUUGUGUCAUUACAAAGACGUGGGAUAAUUCAAACCAAAUGUUUAAGAAAAGCCAAAACUGAAUGUACUGCCUAUACCGGAAAACAUCCCAGCUCUAAAAAUGAUGGAAAUGCCUUUAGGUUCUCCUUAUAAUCAAAUUGAUGGUAUAGGACUCCCAUCAGAAUCUUGCUCUGAUAAUGAAGUCUGCACUGAUAAUUGCAUUAGCGGACACACAUACUUUAUCCUUGAAAAACAUACAUGGGAUUCUGAUACCAAUGAUAACAUUGAAAAUAUGUUAAAAACAGACACAAGCAAUGUUUAUAACACACUAAACUCAAAUGGAAAUAUAACUGGAAGCAGUAAAUCUGAAAAUACGUACAAUUCUACAGAAAGGGUAGCCAUGAAAUUAAAAGCUCAGCACGAUAAGAAUGUAGAUAGAGAUGCAACGGAAAACACAUAUAAUCAUACGAGUAGUAGACGUCUAGUUAAGAUAGGCAAAACCAACAACGUAUACGGUGUUCCUAACAAAUAUAAAGAUGAAUACGAUGAUGUUGAUACCAGAAAUGUAAAGAGCCAGUUCAAUGGAGGAGACACGUACAGUCAUAUCAUGAAGAAAUAUUAAACGGUUAAAGUGUAAUACUAUGACAAAAUCAAACUUAAAUGUUGUCGAAAUAACAUUCAAUCAUUGAAUAUCUAUUUUGUUUUGAUAUAAUUUUUAUGAUCAAAUGGAUUCGGAUUCAAUUAAAUUAAUCGAUUGCAUGUAAUAUGUCUAAAAGGAUAGUUGCUUUUAAUGCAUUCAUUUUUCGUAAAAAUAAACUCUGGUAUUUUAAGCGUUGCUGCAGGCGCUUGAUUUUCUUAAUAUUAAUAAUUUUUAUUUAAACAAUAAAUGCAUAUGAUAUAGUUGUGCAUAUUCAAUAUACAGAUUAUAUUUUGUGUAUCGUUAACAUUAUGCAUACCUUCAAAAUGAGGUGGACUCACUUGGCAUUGAAAAUAUUUGAUACAAGGAAAAUAAUAGUGUAAAAUUGAAUCAAAUGUAGCAACGACCAUAACGAUUCGACAGUAACAAAUGUUUAUUUACGCGAAUCUUUUAUAGAUGUUUUAAGUUAUAUUGUUAUUUUUACAAUAAAUAUUGUUAAACGUU